AGAAACUAAUAGGGAUUACUUUAGUAAUAGUGAGUAAAAUAAUAAUAGUUUAAAUUUAAAAUUUAGCUUUAAACUUAAGUUAUAAUUUAUAGAGAAUACUUUUAGUAUAAUACUUUCUAAGUUCCUUAGAAUAAGAUAUUAGAGAGGGUAAAAGCUCUAUAUAGUUAGAUAUUAAGCUUUUAUAAAGCUCCUUUAAUAAGUUAAGUAAUUUAGGAAUACUAUUUAAAAUAAGAGGUAUAUUUCUUCUAAAGCUAAAUACUAGUUAAAGACUAAUAGUAUAUAAAUAAAGUAAUUAAAAGAUAAAAAGUAUUUUAAAAAGAGAAUUAAAUAGUAUAUAAAAUUAUUAAAAGGGAAGUAUUUAUAACUAGACUUAUAUCUAAUAAAUUAUUUAGCUUUUAUAGCUAAGGUAUUUUACUAGCUUAAGUUAGUAUUAACUUAUUAUUAGGGAUAAAAGCUUUAGGAAUAUAGCUCUUUUUAGGGAGUAUUAUAGUUUAUUAUAUAAUACCCUUUAGUAAGCUAAAGUAUAUACUCUAUAAGGAUACUAAUAUAAUAGUUAUUAAUAACUUAUCUUAAAAUAUAGACUAAGGAGUUAACCUUAUAUAUAAGUAUUUAGAUAUUAAACCUCUAUAUAUAAUAAAAGUAAAUAUAGGUAAGAGCUUUAGUAUAUUAUUAACUAAUCCUAAUAUUUUCAGAUAGAUUUAAAUAAAAGUAUAUAAGGUUAGACCUAAAAAAAGGUAAACUAUAUAUAUAUAAAGUAAAACUAGAGGAAACUUUAGUAGAAGCUUAUAGUAGUUUUAAUAUAUAAAUUAAUUAUUAAAUAUAUAUAUAAAGGCGAAAGACUAAUUAAACCUUCUAGUAGCUAGUUUCUACUAAAGUUUCCUUUAGGAUAGUAGUAUUAAACUUAGUUUUAUAAAGUAAAGUAAAUAAUUAGGGACUUAAGAACGCUAUAUUACCUUUAUCUAUUCUUAAACUUUAAAUAUAUAAGAAGCUUUUAUUACUUAAUUAAAUAUAGGUAUUUAAAUAUAUUAAUAUUAAUAAGCUAUUUUUAGUAAGUAAAACUAGUAAUAUAAAAUAAACUAAAUAUAAAGUUAAGGUAUUAGAGUAAACACUUAUUAAAUACUAUAAAAGGUAUUAGUAUAUCUUAAUAGUAGGAUAGUAGUUAUAGAAGUUAAAAUCUACUAAAAACUAUAUAAUAACUUACUUACUAAAUAUAUUAGCUUUAAAAAUAGAUAGUACUUAAGUAUCUUAUUUAUACCUCACCUUUAGUAUAGAAAUAAUAUAUUAAGGAGUAGGUAGAUAUAGAAGUUAUAAUAAAGCCUAAAAUAUAAGCUUAAGUAGAAUAGUUUCUAAUAUAAAUCUUAGUAAUAAUAGUAAAUACUUUAAUAAGAACUUAAAAAAUUAAAAUAAAGAAAAGUUCUAUAUAAAUAGUAGUUAGAUAUAAGUUAGUUAAUCUUAAGCUAUAAGAAAGUUCUAUUUUAAAGGGGUACUUAUACUUUAUAUAGUAAAAAGGAAGCUAGUUAAUAUUUUAAUACUUAGAUAUAAGUUUUAUAUAAUAAUAUAACUAAAUAUAGAGAUAAUAGUAGAAGUUUUAAGUAGAAUUCUCUUUUUUUCUUAAUAAUCUAUUACUUUAAAAUUAGUUUAUUUAGAGCUAAGGUUUAAUAGCUAGAAGAGCUUAAUACUUCUAUUAAGUUUAAUAUACUCUUAAUAUCUCUUAAAAAUCUAUAAAAAAGAAUAAUUCUUAUACUAAGUUAUAUUUAUAACUAUAAUAAGUCUCUAAAAUAAAUAGCCUCUAGUUAAUAGAAUAAUAUAGAUAAGAGAAGUUAGUAAAAUAGAUCUAUAACUUUAAGAUAAAGAUUAGUUCUAAAGGUUAAGUAUAUUAAGUUUUAAGUAGAUAGCUUAAAAAUAGGUUACUACUAACUAAGUUUUUAGCUAGAGAUUUCUAAUAUCUAAGUUCUAAUACCUUUAAUAAGCUUUAGCUAUCUAAUAUAUAGUUAAUAACUAACUUAGAACUAAUAUAAAUAAAGGGAAUUUAACUAUCUAAUUAAAAUAUAAUAUUAUAAUAACUAGAAAGUAGUAUUAAUAUAAUAUAAUUUCUAUUUAGUACUCUAAAUAUUAAAGUAAAGUAAUUUAACUAAGUAUAAAUAAAUAGUAGGAGUAAUUAUAAUUUAAAUAGUUAGCUAAAAGGCUUAAAGAUAAGUUCUUCUAUUAAGAGGGUUAUUAGAAUAGAAAUAAAAAGCUAUUUAUUAGUAAGGUAUCUUUUAAGGUACUUUAUAAUACUAUUAAAUUAAUAAGAAGUCUUUAAAGCUUAAUAAUAUUAUAGUCUAAUAAAAGAAGGGUAUAUACUAAAGAUAGUACCCUUAAGGAUAGUAAUAGUUAUUAAGAUAUAUAAGUAACCUAUAACUAAACCUUAAAUCCCCCUUCUAAGGGGGAUAUAAAUAUAGUUUAAUAACUAAAUAGUAGUAGGCUUAUUAAAAAGAAACCUCCUUAGUAAGUCUAAGAUAUAGUCUAUAAUAUACCUAAAAUAAUAUUACUUACUUAAGUACUUUUAAGGUAGCUAAAUACUUUAUUAUCUAAUUAGUAAUAUAUAUAAAUAGAUUAAUAAGAUUCCUAUUAUCUCUAUCUACUAUUUAGUAAAACUAUAGUUAAGAGAAUAAAUUUAAUAGAAUUAGUAGAGAAAGAAGACCUUAUUAAACUUAACUCUAAUUUAAUAUUAUAAAAAGAUAUAAGAGGUAUAGAAUAAGUAAGAGCUUUAGUAUUAAUAAAAUAUUACUACUCCUAUUAUUUUUUUAUUUAUUUAAUAAAGUAGGGCUAAAUUUAUAUCUAACUUUUAGUUUUAAAGUUCUUUAUAAACUAACUUAAGUUAAAGAUAUUAUUAGGUAGAGAGUUUAGUUAAAGUAGUAUAUUUAUUAAAUAAUAAUAUAAGUAUCUUAAGGGGAGCUUAUAGAGAAUAGAAAUCUCUAGUAGAAUAAAAAGGUAAAAAUCCCCUUAAUUUUAAUUUUUAGUAUAAAUAUAAACUAUAAAAAUAUAGCUUAUUAAUCCUUUAGUCUCUUAAAAUUUAAAGCUAGAGGUAUUAGAAAAGUUACUAUAAGGAUAACUAGCUUAUAGUAGCUAAGUAUUUAUAGUAAUAUUACUUUUUAAUCCUUUAAUAUUAGCUCUUCCUAUUAUAUUAAAAUAGAAUUUAAUAAGUAUUAAAUUAUUUACCUAUUAAUAAGGAAUAUAAGCUAAGUUUAAACUAUUAUAAGAUAGAUUAGUUUUACCUUAUUAAUAACCUUAUUAUAAUAGUAAUUAAGCUUAAUAUAAGAGGAACUAUUUAUUUAAAUAAUUAGUUUUUAUAGCUAUUUAACUAAGUAAUACUAUAAAGCUACUAUCUAUUAGAUAAUAGCUAAACACCUCUAAGUUAAAAUCUAUAUUAAAAUAUAAUAAUACCUCCUAUAUAUAUAGAUAGAUAUAAAUAAACUUUAGCUUAAUAUCUUAAUAGGUAAUUCUUCUAUUACUCUUAAAGUAAGUAGUAAUAUUUUAUAAAUUAUAAUUUU
rnacentral:rRNA from 1 species